rnacentral:rRNA from 1 species
GUCGAGCGGAGAUAGUGGAGCUUGCUCCAUUAUCUUAGCGGCGGACGGGUGAGUAACACGUGGGCAACCUGCCCUGCAGAUCGGGAUAACUCCGGGAAACCGGUGCUAAUACCGAAUAGUUUGCGGCCUCUCAUGAGGCUGCACGGAAAGACGGUUUCGGCUGUCACUGCAGGAUGGGCCCGCGGCGCAUUAGCUAGUUGGUGAGGUAACGGCUCACCAAGGCCACGAUGCGUAGCCGACCUGAGAGGGUGAUCGGCCACACUGGGACUGAGACACGGCCCAGACUCCUACGGGAGGCAGCAGUAGGGAAUCUUCCGCAAUGGACGAAAGUCUGACGGAGCAACGCCGCGUGAGUGAAGAAGGUUUUCGGAUCGUAAAACUCUGUUGUGAGGGAAGAACAAGUACCAACUAACUACUGGUACCUUGACGGUACCUCACCAGAAAGCCACGGCUAACUACGUGCCAGCAGCCGCGGUAAUACGUAGGUGGCAAGCGUUGUCCGGAAUUAUUGGGCGUA